GAUGAACGCUGGCGGCGUGCCUAACACAUGCAAGUCGAGCGAACAGACGAGGAGCUUGCUCCUUUGUCGUUUGCGGCGCACGGGUGUGUCACAUGUGGAUAACCUACUUAUAUUACUGGGAUAACUUCGGGAAAUCGUAGCCUAUACCGUAUAAUCUAUUGCACCGCAUGGUUUAAUUGUUACAGUCGGUUUUGCUGUCUCUUAUAGCUGGAUCCCCGCCCCUUUAGCUAGUUGGUGAGUUAACGGCUUAUCAAGGCGCCUAUGCGUAGCUCACCUGAUAGGAUGCUCGCCCACACUAGAAGUGAGACACGGUCCAGACUCCUAAGGGAUGCAGCAGUCGCGAAUCGUCCGCAGUAGUCGGAAGCAUGACGGAGCGGCGCCGCGUGAGUGAUGAGGGUCUUCGGUGCGUAAAACUCUGUUAUUAGGGAAGAACAACUGUGUAAGCAAACAAGCCCGUCUUGACGGUACUGAAUCAAAAAGCCCCGGCUAACUACGUG
rnacentral:rRNA from 1 species